rnacentral:rRNA from 1 species
AGCGAACGCUGGCGGCAGGCCUAACACAUGCAAGUCGAACGAACUCUUCGGAGUUAGUGGCGGACGGGUGAGUAACACGUGGGAACGUGCCUUUAGGUUCGGAAUAACUCAGGGAAACUUGUGCUAAUACCGAAUGUGCCCUUCGGGGGAAAGAUUUAUCGCCUUUAGAGCGGCCCGCGUCUGAUUAGCUAGUUGGUGAGGUAACGGCUCACCAAGGCGACGAUCAGUAGCUGGUCUGAGAGGAUGACCAGCCACACUGGGACUGAGACACGGCCCAGACUCCUACGGGAGGCAGCAGUGGGGAAUCUUGCGCAAUGGGCGAAAGCCUGACGCAGCCAUGCCGCGUGGAUGAUGAAGGUCUUAGGAUUGUAAAAUCCUUUCACCGGUGAAGAUAAUGACUGUAGCCGGAGAAGAAGCCCCGGCUAACUUCGUGCCAGCCGCCGCAGUAAAAC